GGAGAGAUGGCUCAGUGGUUAAGAGCACUGACUGCUCUUCCAGAGGUCCUGAGUUCAAUUCCCAGCAACCACU
rnacentral:tRNA from 1 species